ACCAAUACAACUUACAUUAAAAAGGAUAUGACUGUGAAUUCAUGGUUCAGUUUUGAUGCCAUUAUGACAGAAAUAGUUGCUGAAAGAGUUUUAAGUGUCUCCACAUGUACUUAGCUUUCUCUUCUUAAAUAAAUGGACAGAGAACUUUGUAGACAUGGAAUUACAGAGAAACAAUGUAUGUCUUUGAAUGAGCAAUAUAAAACACGGGAGAAAUAGGCUGAUAAUUGCUCAAUAGCAUUGACUACAAGAAGACUGUGUACCUAUCAGGGGUCAAAAAACUUCAAUAAUUUUGAAGCAGUAGUGAGUGAAAUGAUAUUUCAAGGCAUGUCUAACAGUCGAAUUGGCUCUGAAAAUAUCUGUGAUUUCUACUAGCGGAAAGUCAUGGGUUUUGUUAAAGCUACUGGGGUUCCUUGCCUACACUCAUAAUUAAGCAAAAUGCUAAAUUUUAUUUUAAGGUGAGUGAAAACAAAGAUGUAUUACUCCCCCAUCCAAGGUUCUGGAUCCAGUUUGGAAAACUGUUCUAGAGCUUAAUUCUCAGCCACUGCCAUACUCCCUUUUCCAUGGUCAGGAACAAAAGUGGCCGUGAACUCUGAGCUUAGUUCUCAUUGUUAGAAGUACCUAAGUAUGGUAACCCCAAAGGUGAUAGACCACAAGUCUAUUCCCAACAAAGGACUACAAUUAAGAGAAAUGUAGAUAUGUUCCCAAAAUUGUGGCUUUUCUAAUGGUUUCAGUGCAUGCCAGAGAGUGAUCAUGCCAGGAUGGACCUGAGCUGUUGCCAGCAAUGGGGGGAUGCCUGGCAGUGGUGUCAGGACACGCAUGGCCCAGAGACCCACUAAGACCAGUAGAAACCUUGAGCACUGAAGAGAUGAUUUCUCCCUUCUUCUCCAGGCUUGAAGAAUUCCUGAGCAAACAAAGCCAGUUAAGCCAUGGAGGCAACGCUGACCAUGCUUGAUUUGAAAAGUGGUGACAAAGAAUCACUCCACAGAUUGUUCACUAAUUACAAACAGAAAAGAACUGUUACCAUAGAGAGACCUGGGACUCACCAUGUUAACCAAGUGCUCAAACAGCAUCCUUGACACAUAAGGGAGUAUUCCAAUCUUAUGGGGAAAAAAGCAGGGGAACUAAAGAGAUAUAAUAACCAAACGCAAAUGUAUGAUGGGAUACUACUCUGGAAAAACACACCUAUAAAAGACAUUUAUGGGAUUUGUGAAAUUUGAAUAUAAACUGUAAAUUAGAGGAUAUUAUCAAAUUACUAUUAAUUUUUAAAUAUAAAAAUGGUAUUGUUUAUG